rnacentral:rRNA from 1 species
AUUGAACGCUGGCGGCAUGCCUAACACAUGCAAGUCGAACGGAGGUAGGGGCAACUCUACUUCAGUGGCGGACGGGUGAGGAAUGCGUCGGAAUCUACCCUAUGGUGGGGGAUAACACAGGGAAACUUGUGCUAAUACCGCAUAAUGUCGAGAGACCAAAGCAGGGGACCGCAAGGCCUUGCGCGAUAGGAUGAGCCGACGCCCGAUUAGCUAGUUGGUAGGGUAAAGGCCUACCAAGGCGACGAUCGGUAGCUGGUCUGAGAGGAUGAUCAGCCACACUGGGACUGAGACACGGCCCAGACUCCUACGGGAGGCAGCAGUGGGGAAUAUUGGACAAUGGGCGCAAGCCUGAUCCAGCAAUGCCGCCAGCGUCGUU